CCUACGGGUGGCAGCAGUGAGGAAUAUUGGUCAAUGGCCGGAAGGCUGAACCAGCCAAGCCGCGUGCAGGACGAAGGUGCCAAGCAUUGUAAACUUCUUUUGUCAAGGGACAAAAUCAGGCUCGAGAGCCUGACCGAGGGUACUUGAAGAAAAAGCAUCGGCUAACUCCGUGCCAGCAGCCGCGGUAAUACGGGGGAUGCGAGCGUUAUCCGGAUUUAUGGGGUUUAAAGGGUGCGUCGGCGGGCUGUUAAGUCAGCGGUAAAAGCCCGGGGCUCAACCCCGGCGAGCCGUUGAAACUGGCUGUAUUGAGAUGUCGAGAGGUAUGCGGAAUGCGCAGUGUAGCGGUGAAAUGCUUAGAUAUUGCGCAGAACGCCGAUUGCGAAGGAAGCAUACCGGCGGCGAUCUGACGCGGAGGCACGAAAGUGUGGGUAUCGAACAGGAUUAGAUACCCCAGUAGUC
rnacentral:rRNA from 1 species